rnacentral:rRNA from 1 species
UAGGGAAUCUUCCACAAUGGACGCAAGUCUGAUGGAGCAACGCCGCGUGAGUGAAGAAGGUUUUCGGACCGUAAAGCUCUGUUGUUGGUGAAGAAGGAUAGAGGUAGUAACUGGCCUUUAUUUGACGGUAAUCAACCAGAAAGUCACGGCUAACUACGUGCCAGCAGCCGCGGUAAUACGUAGGUGGCAAGCGUUGUUCGGAUUUAUUGGGCGUAAAGCGAGCGCAGGCGGAAGAAUAAGUCUGAUGUGAAAGCCCUCGGCUUAACCGAGGAAUUGCAUCGGAAACUGUUUUCUUGAGUGCAGAAGAGGAGAGUAGAACUCCAUGUGUAGCGGUGGAAUGCGUAGAUAUAUGGAAGAAUACCAGUGGCGAAGGCGGCUCUCUGGUCUGCAACUGACGCUGAGGCUCGAAAGCACGGGUAGCGAACAGGAUUAGAUACCCUGGUAGUCCAUGCCGUAAACGAUGAGUGCCAAGUGUUGGGAGGCUUCCGCCUCUCAGUGCUGCAGCUAACGCAUUAAGCACUCCGCCUGGGGAGUACGACCGCAAGGUUGAAAC